UUAUUUUGAGGUCGGAAAUGGUUCCCGACAUACUCUUUUGAGUACCUGAGAUGAUGGAUACACCGCCCAUCCAAAGUAG
ncrna:unclassified sequences skipping-rope RNA